rnacentral:piRNA from 1 species
UGCCAGGGUGGCACUGUGUGAGGAGACU